rnacentral:misc_RNA from 1 species
GGAAAUGUUUCCUCCGCCGCCGUAUAGUCCAAAUUCCAUCUGAAACGACGACGCUGCGCUGUUCGGCGAUGCGGUUCGGUCUUCGCCUUCAUCGUUUUCGGACGACGGCCAUGGGAAUCCUUGGUACGGAUUAGUUAGGUUUCGAGGAACGGGAUUAUGAGGGAGAAGAUCGAGUUGAAUCGGUGGAUCUUCAUUAGCGUCGGAUUCAUCUUCUCUCUGAUUAGGUUUUUCUUCGUCGUCUUCUUUCUCUCCGACAAACGGACGGCCAAUCGACAAGUCGACACAGAACCCUAAAUCUGGCCGGGAAAGAACUCGCUGUGGCGGCGGUACUUGCGGUUGCUUCUCGACGAAGCGGAAGGGCUUGGGGGCGUCGCCCAAGCUCAGGCCAAGCUCCAUCGGUGCGGCGGCGCACAGGCAGAAAGAAAGGAAAUGGACUAAACGGGGAGUUCGGAAGUGGAGAGGUCUGC